GCUGGCGGCAGGCCUAACACAUGCAAGUCGAACGGUAACAGGAAGAAGCUUGCUUCUUUGCUGACGAGUGGCGGACGGGUGAGUAAUGUCUGGGAAACUGCCUGAUGGAGGGGGAUAACUACUGGAAACGGUAGCUAAUACCGCAUAACGUCGCAAGACCAAAGAGGGGGACCUUCGGGCCUCUUGCCAUCGGAUGUGCCCAGAUGGGAUUAGCUAGUAGGUGGGGUAACGGCUCACCUAGGCGACGAUCCCUAGCUGGUCUGAGAGGAUGACCAGCCACACUGGAACUGAGACACGGUCCAAACUCCUACGGGAGGCAGCAGUGAGGAAUAUUGGUCAAUGGGCGAGAGCCUGAACCAGCCAAGUAGCGUGAAGGAUGACUGCCCUAUGGGUUGUAAACUUCUUUUAUAAAGGAAUAAAGUCGGGUAUGGAUACCCGUUUGCAUGUACUUUAUGAAUAAGGAUCGGCUAACUCCGUGCCA
rnacentral:rRNA from 1 species